UACGUAGGGUGCAAGCGUUAAUCGGAAUUACUGGGCGUAAAGCGUGCGCAGGCGGUUAUGUAAGUCAGGUGUGAAAUCCCCGGGCUUAACCUGGGAACUGCAUUUGUGACUGCAUAGCUAGAGUACGGUAGAGGGGGAUGGAAUUCCGCGUGUAGCAGUGAAAUGCGUAGAUAUGCGGAGGAACACCGAUGGCGAAGGCAAUCCCCUGGACCUGUACUGACGCUCAUGCUCGAAAGCGUGGGGAGCAAACAGG
rnacentral:rRNA from 1 species